rfam:Clonorchis sinensis DNA, scaffold: 1120, strain: Henan.
GCCUACCUGAUGAGUUCCAAAAAGGACGAAACCGGUCGUGGGC